AUACUUUGAUUUGUUCAGGGUCUGAAAAACUCAAAUAUUGUUGUGUUGUCAUCAGCUUCAUCUCUAGUUUUGGCAACGAGUUGGGAGUUAAAUAACGGCACUAAAUUG